rnacentral:rRNA from 1 species
GAUGAACGCUGGCGGCGUGCCUAAUACAUGCAAGUCGAGCGAACAGAUGAGGAGCUUGCUCCUCUGACGUUAGCGGCGGACGGGUGAGUAACACGUGGAUAACCUACCUAUAAGACUGGGAUAACUUCGGGAAACCGGAGCUAAUACCGGAUAAUAUAUUGAACCGCAUGGUUCAAUAGUGAAAGACGGUUUUGCUGUCACUUAUAGAUGGAUCCGCGCCGCAUUAGCUAGUUGGUAAGGUAACGGCUUACCAAGGCAACGAUGCGUAGCAGACCUGAGAGGGUGAUCGGCCACACUGGAACUGAGACACGGUCCAGACUCCUACGGGAGGCAGCAGUAGGGAAUCUUCCGCAAUGGGCGAAAGCCUGACGGAGCAACGCCGCGUAAGUGAUGAAGGUCUUCGGAUCGUAAAACUCUGUUAUUAGGGAAGAACAAAUGUGUAAGUAACUAUGCACGUCUUGACGGUACCUAAUCAGAAAGCCACGGCUAACUACGUG